rnacentral:rRNA from 1 species
UGAGGAAUCUUGCGCAAUGGGGGAAACCCUGACGCAGCAACGCCGCGUGAGUGAGGAAGGUCUUCGGAUCGUAAAGCUCUGUCGGGUGGAAAGAAAUGUAUGGGGUUAAUAGCCUUCAUACUUGACGGUACCACCAAAGAAAGCACCGGCUAACUCCGUGCCAGCAGCCGCGGUAAUACGGGGGGUGCAAGCGUUGUUCGGAAUUAUUGGGCGUAAAGAGCGUGUAGGCGGCUUGGCAAGUCAGAUGUGAAAGCCCUGGGCUUAACCCAGGAAGUGCAUUUGAAACUGCCUAGCUUGAGUAGGGGAGAGGGAAGUGGAAUUCCUGGUGUAGAGGUGAAAUUCGUAGAUAUCAGGAGGAACACCGGUGGCGAAGGCGACUUCCUGGCCCUAUACUGACGCUGAGACGCGAGAGCGUGGGUAGCAAACAG